GCUCAGGAUGAACGCUGGCGGCGUGCCUAAUACAUGCAAGUCGAGCGAACAGAUAAGGAGCUUGCUCCUUUGACGUUAGCGGCGGACGGGUGAGUAACACGUGGAUAACCUACCUAUAAGACUGGGAUAACUUCGGGAAACCGGAGCUAAUACCGGAUAAGAUUUUGAACCGCAUGGUUCAAUAGUGAAAGACGGCCUUGCUGUCACUUAUAGAUGGAUCCGCGCCGUAUUAGCUAGUUGGUAAGGUAACGGCUUACCAAGGCAACGAUACGUAGCCGACCUGAGAGGGUGAUCGGCCACACUGGAACUGAGACACGGUCCAGACUCCUACGGGAGGCAGCAGUAGGGAAUCUUCCGCAAUGGGCGAAAGCCUGACGGAGCAACGCCGCGUGAGUGAUGAAGGUCUUCGGAUCGUAAAACUCUGUUAUCAGGGAAGAACAAACGUGUAAGUAACUGUGCAC
rnacentral:rRNA from 1 species